GGUUUGCUUUUAUAGAGCAGCAAGGAUCUUCUGAAAACCCAACAUGAAAAGCGCUCUAUAAAAGCAAACCACUCUUCUACGCCCUUCUGUAUCAUUUUUUUACUCAUUUGCUCUCUUCGUGUUCUCCGCCACUUCCUCUCAGAUCCAUUUUCUUUAGAUCCCAUCAAUGGCUUCUGUUACUGGAUCUUCCUUCGCCAUCUCUUCCCUUUCCUCCUCCUUCAACCCCAACAAGGCAUGUUUGAAGACAUCCUCCCUUUCUAUCAAGGGAAUAAGCUUCCCUUCCCUCAGAGUGAAGCCAGCUACUCGUCGCUUCAGCAUUAGCUGUGCGGCUAAACCAGAGACAGUUGACAAAGUGUGUGAAAUUGUGAAGAAACAACUGGCUCUUCCCAGUGAUUCUGCAGUCAAUGGAGAGUCAAAAUUUAUAGCACUUGGUGCUGAUUCUC
rnacentral:misc_RNA from 1 species